CUCACACAACCACGCUCAGAAGCUCAGUCAGGAAUCUUCAGGGCGAACAGAGGAAGCUGGACAACUGCAACUGACUGGGAAGAAGAUGAGCAGAGGAAGGAAAGAGAGAGUGACAGGAAAAGAAAAGCUGUAGGGAAAAGAAAUAGAUGAGCAGAGGAGGAUUUAUCUUUACCCCACAUCCACCUGAAUAACUGACGCUACGGGCAGCAGAUCCACUGGUGCAGAAGGAGCGCAUGCUGCGGGAUUUCCUACCACGCGCAACUACGUGCAAGCUGGCACGCGAUUCAAGUCCAUGUGGACCAGGAGGAAGGUGUGAGACUGUGCGUUUAGGCCACAGGGCAGUGGAGCAGAAAACUAAAAUCAUCCUUACACCACGCCCUUCAGUGAUACCUUUAUAACUGCCUCUUUCAAUUGCCAGUGGAAGGGAACCAACUCCUGAGCAUACAAGGACCUCAGCCCUCUUCUUAAAUGAAUAAGUAACCGGAGAGGAGGAGGACGGAGAAAUAAUCCAAGAAAGGGGUCGGACUCAGGAUACAAGGAAGAUGCCAGUCGUCCAAUCACUAUGAAGGAGCUUUGCUUCACACAAAAUCAGAAAAGGUUGAGAGACAGAGCACCCACACAGCUGAGACUUCAGACUCAAGCUGACUGGACUUGAAUCAGGAGAGGUCAGCUGGUCAUCAGCACAAGAGGAACGAAAAAGAAUAUGUGUGAGGAAGACAAUGGAAGAUUAAGUCAAGAAUGAGAGGGAGGACUAAUAGAUUGAUGAAAGGAGAGUGAAUGUAAGCACCUUUGCACACCAAA